UACAGAGGGUGCGAGCGUUGUUCGGAGUUACUGGGCGUAAAGCGCGCGCAGGCGGCCUUUUAAGUCUGACGGUGAAAUGCCGGGGCUCAACCCCGUGCCCGCCGGAGAUACUGGGAGGCUGGAGACGAGUAGAGGCAAGCGGAAUUCCGGGUGUAGCGGUGGAAUGCGUAGAGAUCCGGAGGAACACCGGUGGCGAAGGCGGGAUCCUGGGCCAGUACUGACGCUGAGGAGCGAAAGCCAGGGGAGCAAACGGG
rnacentral:rRNA from 1 species